ACGAACGCUGGCGGCGUGCUUAACACAUGCCAGUCGAACGGAAAGGCCCUGCUUUUGUGGGGUGCUCGAGUGGCGAACGGGUGAGUAACACGUGAGUAACCUGCCCUUGACUUUGGGAUAACUUCAGGAAACUGGGGCUAAUACCGGAUAGGAGCUCCUGCUGCAUGGUGGGGGUUGGAAAGUUUCGGCGGUUGGGGAUGGACUCGCGGCUUAUCAGCUUGUUGGUGGGGUAGUGGCUUACCAAGGCUUUGACGGGUAGCCGGCCUGAGAGGGUGACCGGCCACAUUGGGACUGAGAUACGGCCCAGACUCCUACGGGAGGCAGCAGUGGGGAAUAUUGCACAAUGGGCGGAAACCUGAUGCAGCAACGCCGCGUGCGGGAUGACGGCCUUCGGGUUGUAAACCGCUUUCGCCUGUGACGAAGCGUGAGUGACGGUAAUGGGUAAAGAAGCACCGGCUAACUACGUG
rnacentral:rRNA from 1 species